GACGAACGCUGGCGGCGUGCUUAACACAUGCAAGUCGAACGGAAAGGCCCUGCUUGCAGGGUACUCGAGUGGCGAACGGGUGAGUAACACGUGGGUGAUCUGCCCUGCACUUCGGGAUAAGCCUGGGAAACUGGGUCUAAUACCGGAUAGGAGCCAUUUUUAGUGUGAUGGUUGGAAAGUUUUUUCGGUGUAGGAUGAGCUCGCGGCCUAUCAGCUUGUUGGUGGGGUAAUGGCCUACCAAGGCGGCGACGGGUAGCCGGCCUGAGAGGGUGGACGGCCACAUUGGGACUGAGAUACGGCCCAGACUCCUACGGGGGGGAGCAGGGGGGAAUAUUGCACCAUGGGCGCAAGCCUGAUGCAGCGACGCCGCGUGGGGGAUGACGGCCUUCGGGUUGUAAACUCCUUUCGCUAGGGACGAAGCUUUUUGUGACGGUACCUAGAUAAGAAGCACCGGCUAACUACGUG
rnacentral:rRNA from 1 species